rnacentral:lncRNA from 10 species
CACACAACGGGGUUUCGGGGCUGUGGACCCUGUGCCAGGAAAGGAAGGGCGCAGCUCCUGCAAUGCGGAGCAGCCAGGGCAGUGGGCACCAGGCUUUAGCCUCCCUUUCUCACCCUACAGAGGGCAGGCCCUUCAGCUCCAUUCUCCUCCAAGGCUGCAGAGGGGGCAGGAAUUGGGGGUGACAGGAGAGCUGUAAGGUCUCCAGUGGGUCAUUCUGGGCCCAGAGAUGGGUGCUGAAGCUCCCACGCCUGCCUGUGAAAAUGGAGUCCUCUCUCACCUGGGAGAGCCAGGUGCUGCCCCGAGAAGGAUGCAUUUAUGGCUUCAUGAAGUCUUUCCUGACCCCCGAUGCUGCUGACUAUAGAGACAAAGUCUCACUAUGUUGCUCAGGCUGGUCUUGAACUCCUGGCCUCAAGCGAUCCUCCCACCUUAGCCUCCCAAAGAGUUGGGAUUAUAGACAUGAGCCACUGCACCUGGCCGACCUUGGGCAAGUUCUUAAACCCUUCAAAGCCUCAUUUUUCUCCAAUCAUAAAAGGGAAAGAUGGUAAUAUUUUCCCCUCCAAAUUCUUGUCGGAUGCCCUCACAGAAUUGAGAUUAUGUACGUAAAACACCAGGUGCCUAACCCGGCACAGAGCAGGAGGGCUAAGCGUGACAUCCAGCACGUGGUCAGUGGAAUCCAGUAUUCCUACCCACCUCUCUAGUCUCCCCUCCACCCCUCUCCCUUUCAGAGGCACCAAGCUGCUUGUGGUCUUGUCUAUUCCCACUCCCUGCCUGACUGAACAUUUUCUCCACCUCCUGAUCAUCAGCAGCAGAAACUGGCUGCUCUUCCUCCUGGGUAGACAGCCAGACUGUAUUUCCCAGCUGCCCCUGCAGUGAGAUGUGGCCAUCGGAGCCAGCAUUGGCCAAUGGACUCUGCAUGGGAGUGACGCAUGCUGCCUCCAGGCUUGUCCCUAAAACCUCCCACGUGUCCUCCGCCUGCUCUUCCCACUUCCAAGGAGCACGGCAAUUGUGGAAGACCCAGAUUAGUGAUGGCAGAACCAUAGAUGGGAGGAACCUGGGUCCCUGACUUAAAGUAUCAUGGAUUUGGAUGUUCCCUUAGUGAGAAAUAAACUUCCAUUGUGUUUAAGCCUUUA